rnacentral:rRNA from 1 species
UGAACGCUGGCGGCGUGCCUCAUACAUGCAAGUCGAGCGACCAGACGAGGAGCUUGCUCCUCUGACGUUAGCGGCGGACGGGUGAGUAACACGUGGAUAACCUACCUAUAAGACUGGGAUAACUUCGGGAAACCGGAGCUAAUACCGGAUAAUAUAUUGAACCGCAUGGUUCAAUAGUGAAAGACGGUUUUGCUGUCACUUAUAGAUGGAUCCGCGCCGCAUUAGCUAGUUGGUAAGGUAACGGCUUACCAAGGCGACGAUGCGUAGCCGACCUGAGAGGGUGAUCGGCCACACUGGAACUGAGACACGUUCCAGACUCCUACGGGAGGCAGCAGUAGGGAAUCUUCCGCAAUGGGCGAAAGCCUGACGGAGCAACGCCGCGUGAGUGAUGAAGGUCUUCGGAUCGUAAAACUCUGUUAUUAGGGAAGAACAAAUGUGUAAGUAACUAUGCACGUCUUGACGGUACCUAAUCAGAAAGCCACGGCUAACUACGUG